AAAUUGAAGAGUUUGAUCAUGGCUCAGAUUGAACGCUGGCGGCAGGCCUAACACAUGCAAGUCGAACGGUAACAGGAAGCAGCUUGCUGUUUUGCUGACGAGUGGCGGACGGGUGAGUAAUGUCUGGGAAACUGCCUGAUGGAGGGGGAUAACUACUGGAAACGGUAGCUAAUACCGCAUAACGUCGCAAGACCAAAGAGGGGGACCUUAGGGCCUCUUGCCAUCGGAUGUGCCCAGAUGGGAUUAGCUAGUAGGUGGGGUAACGGCUCACCUAGGCGACGAUCCCUAGCUGGUCUGAGAGGAUGACCAGCCACACUGGAA
rnacentral:rRNA from 1 species